rnacentral:lncRNA from 1 species
GGGAACAGAGGUUGCAAAGGCUAUAUCAGGAAGAUUUUAAUAAAGACAACUUUCCCAACAAUGGCAGCUAUCUAAAAACAAAACAGCCAUCUUCAGAAGGAAGCAUGUCAAGUCUGGAGGUAUUCUCUCUGGUAGCUGGCAAUGAAGAGGCCCUGAGGGUGAGAGAGGCAAAGACAAG